UAUGUUGAUUUGUAGUUGAUUUAUUGUUCUUUUUGUAUUCUGAAUAAAUUGUUUCUGUUUUUUUGUUUGAUUCUUUUGUAUGAGUUGCACAAAGACAUCAAUGUUACUACUGGUCCGUAUAAGGGAAAAAAAGAUCUGAUCCAUUUGAAGUUAAAUUUGUUGAAAAUCUGCCUACUCAAUUUGAUAAUGACUGUGGAAUCCAUAUGGUUUGUGUUGCUGAAUUUUUCAUUGAUGGAAAAGAAAUGGGAUCUGAUUUUGUUGCUAAAGAACAUCGUGCUCGCUAUGCUUCCUCCUUGUAUGCGUAUGGUAAUUGGAAGGAACAUUCUAACAUGGUUAGUGAAGAUGAAUGUCCAGUCAAGUACAAGAGGCACAUUAAACAAUAAUUUCUUUUAUGUAUUAGACUUUUAUUGUUGUGAUUUUCUAUUUUAGAAAAGUACUUUGGAUAUUAAUACUGUUUUAUUGUGUUUUAUAGUUCAUUUUUUAUGAAUGCUUGUAAGAAUGUUUUUUUAUACUUUAUUAAUUGUUUUUUUUCAUUUA